rnacentral:rRNA from 1 species
AGAGUUUGAUCCUGGCUCAGAACGAACGCUGGCGGCGCGUUUUAAGCAUGCAAGUCGAAGGAGAAAUCAGAGCUUGCUCUGGUGGACACUGGCGCACGGGUGAGUAACACGUGAGAAUCUGUCUUGAGAUGGGGGAUAGCCCGUGGAAACACGGGAUAAUACCGCAUAUGCCCACGGGUGAAAGGAGCUUUUGCUCCGUCUCUUGAGGAGCUCGCGGUCCAUUAGUUUGUUGGCAGGGUAAGAGCCUACCAAGACUACGAUGGAUAGCCGGCCUGAGAGGGUGUACGGCCACAUUGGGACUGAGACACGGCCCAGACUCCUACGGGAGGCAGCAGCUAAGAAUAUUCCGCAAUGGGGGAGACCCUGACGGAGCGACGCCGCGUGAACGAUGAAGGCCGAAAGGUUGUAAAGUUCUUUUAUAGGGGAAGAAUAAUGAUUGGAAGAGAAUGCCAGUCAGAUGACGGUACCUUAUGAAUAAGCUCCGGCUAACUACGUGCCAGCAGCCGCGGUAAUACGUAGGGAGCAAGCGUUGUUCGGAUUUAUUGGGCGUAAAGGGCACGCAGGCGGUUAUGUAAGUGUGGAUUUAAAGACCGGAGCUUAACUCCGUGUAUGGUCUGCAAACUGCAUGACUUGAGUAUAGGAUGAGAAACUGGAAUUCCGCGUGUAGGGGUGAAAUCUGUAGAGAUGCGAAGAAUACCGGUGGCGAAGGCGAGUUUCUGGCCUAUUACUGACGCUGAGGUGCGAAAGUGUGGGGAGCGAACAGGAUUAGAUACCCUGGUAGUCCACACUGUAAACGUUGUACACUAGGUGUCGGGGGUAUCGACCCCCCCGGUGCCGUAGCUAACGCGUUAAGUGUACCGCCUGGGGAGUAUGCUCGCAAGGGUGAAACUCAAAGGAAUUGACGGGGGCCCGCACAAGCGGUGGAGCAUGUGGUUUAAUUCGACGAUACGCGAAGAACCUUACUAGGGCUUGACAUUUAGACUGCGGACACAGAGAUGUGUCUUCCUUCGGGGGUCUAAACAGGUGCUGCAUGGUUGUCGUCAGCUCGUGUUGUGAGAUGUUGGGUUAAGUCCCGCAACGAGCGCAACCCUUACCGUUAGUUGCCAUCAGGUGAUGCUGGGCACUCUAGCGGAACUGCCGGUGACAAACCGGAGGAAGGUGAGGAUGACGUCAAAUCCUCAUGGCCCUUAUGUCCUGGGCUACACACGUGCUACAAUGGGCUGUACAAAGGGUCGCAAUACCGUAAGGUGGAGCCAAUCCCAAAAAGCAGUCCUCAGUUCGGAUUGAAGUCUGCAACUCGACUUCAU